rnacentral:lncRNA from 1 species
GGGACUGCUGCGGGUCCCCCGGGGCCCUAUGGGGUCAGGGGAAGCGGGGGAGGCGAAGUAGGGUUGGCUGCCUGCGGGGGACUCCGCUGCGAGGGGUAGCUGAGGGCGCAGGCGACCCUGUCAGCGAGUACAGAGCAGGAUAAAGCAUUCCAGAGGAGUUGCUAGCAUGAGCUCAGGCUGCUUCUUGGCAGCUGAGAAACGGGGACAAGGGAGCAAUAAAAUGGAAGCAUUCAUUUAACUCUCCACAUGCUCUAACCUCCCGUCGGGAUGUAGCUCCAGCACCACUGUAUGGCCAAGCAGUGUCCCAAGGCUGCUG